AUUGAACGCUGGCGGCAGGCCUAACACAUGCAAGUCGAGCGGAUGAAGGGAGCUUGCUCCUGGAUUCCGCGGCGGACGGGUGAGUAAUGCCUAGGAAUCUGCCUGGUAGUGGGGGAUAACGUCCGGAAACGGGCGCUAAUACCGCAUACGUCCUGCGGGAGCAAGUGGGGGAUCUUCGGACCUCACGCUAUCAGAUGAGCCUAGGUCGGAUUAGCUAGUUGGUGGGGUAAAGGCCUACCAAGGCGACGAUCCGUAACUGGUCUGAGAGGAGGAUCAGUCACACUGGAACUGAGACACGGUCCAGACUCCUACGGGAGGCAGCAGUGGGGAAUAUUGGACAAUGGGCGAAAGCCUGAUCCAGCCAGGCCGCGUGUGUGAAGAAGGUCUUCGGAUUGUAAAGCACUUUAAGUUGGGAGGAAGGGCAGUAAGUUAAUACCUUGCUGUUUUGACGUUACCAACAGAAUAAGCACCGGCUAACUUCGUG
rnacentral:rRNA from 1 species